rnacentral:rRNA from 1 species
GGUAUCUCGGUGACAGAGGCGGGGGGCAGACGGUGGCGGCAAUCGUUAGCCGGUGUUGUUUGGUUUAAAGGGGUCGUAGGCGGGACUAUAAGUCAGUGGGGAAAGCCGACAGCUUAACUGUCGAACGGCCGUUGAUACUGUAGGUCUUGAGUAAAUUUGAAGUGGCUGGAAUAAGUAGUGUAGCGGUGAAAUGCAUAGAUAUUACUUAGAACACCAAUUGCGAAGGCAGGUCACUAAGAUUUAACUGACGCUGAUGGACGAAAGCGUGGGGAGCGAACAGGAUUAGAUACCCCUGUAGUC